AUGCCUGGGGACUCGCAGUCGCUGUGGGAACUGGUGGAAGAGCACGUUCCGCUCCCGGAGCGGCCCGAAGUGAGGAGGAUUCUAGGGGAGACGAAAGUGGAUCUGAGCCUGGAGCUACGGGCAGAGGUAGUGAUGUUAGCAUCACUGCUCCAAGAAGCUCGAUAUGUCCAAGCCUCUGGAUCGCGCCCCACCUCUUUCCUCUGCUCCCUUCUGGCACCACCGCCCCUCCUAAGAGAUGUUGUGCGCCAGGAACUGCUGCAGCUGCUUCAAGGUCUCCACCGGAAGGCCAUCUGUGAGGGCAGGGACCAGACCCACGCUUGGGUCCAGUAUAGCCCCCAGGGUCCUGCGCUUUGCCUUGGAGGAGCCCAGGCAUGAUUUGCCAGAACAGAUGUUCCAGAUGAGAGCUGGUGAACCCAGAUACAGUAGCCUCAGCAUGAUCAAGGACCAGCUGAAUGUGUCCCACAUUGACCAGGCUGCUGGACACCUGUGACCCUCCUGGAGGAAAGAGUGCCGUGCACUAGAGAGGGAGACUCCCAUCCUGCAGAAACAUGAACCAGUGUGGAAACCCGGUGCUGACCUCUCUGCGGCACAGAGGAACUGGCACGACUGGGGGCAAGACGCCAGACACUGCCCUGACCAUCGGGCUGACCCCUCUGUCACUCAGAGACAGCCCUGCCUCUUCUCUGUGGAGCAUCAUCUAUAGUUGAAGCCGGAGCAGGAACAGGCUGAACCGUGUAUCCUCCUCUAGCUGGCAAUCUAGCCCACGCAGGAGCUUCAGUGGACCUAUUUUUUCCCUACACCUGGCAGGUGUCUCCUCAAUUCUAGGGGCCAUUAAUUUCAUUACAACAAUUAUUAAUAUAAAACCUACUGCAAUGUCACAAUACCAAACCCCUCUGUUCGUGUCAUCUGUACUAAUCACUGCCGUACGGCUACUUCUCUCACUCGAUGUCCUAGCAGCCAGGAUUACAAUACUAUUAACAGACAGAAAUUUAAAUACAACUUUCUUUGACCCAGCAGGAGGUGGGGACCCUAUUCUAUAUCAACACUUAUUCUGAUUCUUUGGACACCCUGAAGUAUAUAUUCUUAUUCUACGUGGGUUUGGUAUAAUCUCUCACAUCAUAACCUAUUAUUCAGGAAAAAAAGAGCCAUUUGGAUAUGUGGGAAUGGUCUGAGCUAUAAUAUCAAUUGGAUUCCUAGGAUUUAUCAUAUGAGCUCACCACAUAUUUACAGUCAGAAUAGACGUUGACACACGAGCCUACUUCACAUCAGCCACUAUAAUUAUUGCUAUUCCAACAGGAGUAAAGGUCUUUAGUUGACUAGCAACACUUCAUGGAGGCAACAUUAAAUGAUCACCUGCUAUAAUAUGAGCUCUAGGCUUUAUUUUCCUUUUUACAGUUGGAGG